rnacentral:rRNA from 1 species
AGGACGAACGCUGGCGGCGUGCUUAACACAUGCAAGUCGAGCGGAAAGGCCCUUCGGGGUACUCGAGCGGCGAACGGGUGAGUAACACGUGGGCAACCUGCCCUUAGCUCUGGGAUAGCUCCGGGAAACCGGAAUUAAAUACCGGAUAUGACCUAGGCCGACAUCGGCCGUGGUGGAAAGUUUUUCGGCUAGGGAUGGACUCGCGGCCUAUCAGCUAGUUGGUGGGUAAUGGCCUACCAAGGCGACGACGGGUAG